AAUAAGAUGACUGAUCAAAGUGGAAAACUGUAAAUUUUCUUAUGAGAAAUUUUCUCUCUUAUUA
rnacentral:tRNA from 1 species